rnacentral:lncRNA from 1 species
CAGCGUUCGUUUCGUUGCUCCACUCAUCAGAUCCAUCCACGCCAGAGACGGAGGCAGCCAUGCCGCUGCCGCCGCUCCUGCUCUGCGUCUGCCUCUACCUCACCCACCUCCCCCGCCUCGCCUCCUCCGAGCCCGACGCCGACAAGGCGGCGCUGCUGGCGUUCCUCGCCGGCGUGGGCCGCGGCGCCACCGCCCGCGCGCGCAUCAACUGGCCCACCACCCCGCUCGCCUGCGCCAGCCCCGGCCACGGCCCCGGCUGGACGGGGGUCACCUGCAGCCCCGACGGCGCGCGCGUCGUGGCGCUGCACCUCCCGGGGCUGGGCCUCUCGGGCGCCGUCCAGUCCGGCACGCCGUUCCUGGUCGCGUCGCAUCACCACAGGAAUGGCGGAUCUCGCCGCUCAACCACCGUAACAAGAAAUCGUUGCCGACGACGAUUUCAGAAUUCGAAUAAAUUCCUACGCCGUACGUACAGUAUACUAUUCUACUACUCGAUCCGCCACGCCCGGCAGCAGCGCUCACAUCACAUGGGAAUUCAAUGCUGACCGUGCCGCCGUCACUCCUCCCGUUCAGCAGGUCCAGCAGCGUUCGUUUCGUUGCUCCACCUCCACUCAUCAGAUCCAUCCACGCGAGAGACCGAGGCAGGCAGCCAUGCCGCUGCCGCUGCCGCUGCCGCCGCUCCUGCUCUGCGUCUGCGUCUGCGUCUGCCUCUGCCUCUACCUCACCCACCUCCCCCGCCUCGCCUCCUCCGAGCCCGACGCCGACAAGGCGGCGCUGCUGGCGUUCCUCGCCGGCGUGGGCCGCGGCGCCACCGCGCGCGCGCGCAUCAACUGGCCCACCACCCCGCUCGCCUGCGCCGGCCCCGGACCGGGCUGGACGGGAGUCACCUGCAGCCCCGACGGCGCGCGCGUCGUGGCGUUGCACCUCCCGGGGCUGGGCCUCUCGGGCGCCGU